rnacentral:rRNA from 1 species
UACGGAGGAUGCGAGCGUUAUCCGGAUUUAUUGGGUUUAAAGGGUGCGUAGGCGGAAUAUCAAGUCAGCGGUAAAAAUUCGGGGCUCAACCCCGUCGUGCCGUUGAAACUGGCGCCCUUGAGUGGGCGAGAAGUAUGCGGAAUGCGUGGUGUAGCGGUGAAAUGCAUAGAUAUCACGCAGAACCCCGAUUGCGAAGGCAGCAUACCGGCGCCCUACUGACGCUGAAGCACGAAAGCGUGGGUAUCGAACAGG